rnacentral:sRNA from 1 species
AUUCUGCCCAUGCGGGGAAGGAUGAGAAGCUUCGACUAAGGUUCGGCUCGAGCGUCAGCGAGAGAGCGUUGCCGCAGGCAACGACCCGAAGGGCGAAGCGCGC